AUUUAUUUGUCAUCGCCAUAAUUCAUUUGCUGUACAUUGUCAUUUUAUUGUACAAGUUAAAUCUUGGUAUAUAUUUUUAAAAUACAGCCAAUGUAAACAAAGUUCAAAGUACAUGAAGAGAAUCUUUUGAGGGCAUUGAAAAGGAAAUUGACGACAUUACAAGCAAUAAAAACAGUAAACAUAUUACAGGCAGAUUUCUUCAGGAAUCAUUACUCUUAAAUAAUGCAGACAUUAUAAAGACUUUAUUAAUUCUUAAUGCUGUAAAUUUGAAAUGAAUGGAGCAAUGUUGUUCCUCCUGCAAGUGGUUGGGAUUCAUGUAGAAUGACAGUGCAAGUCCUCAAGCAGUGAUUUAAAUUAAGUACCCAAAACUUGUUUUUAGAGGCUGGAGGAACUAACUGAUCUUUGAAUCAGUCCCUUUUGAGAACCUGCUUUUUCCAAAUAGCAUCAUGAGCGUGGUGGUCUGGUUUUCCUCUUCUAUCUUGUUGUCAUAGAUAAGAUGCACAUGAAGAAUUCAUAUAAAUUGCUCUCAGAUACUAUGGAUUCCUAGCAUAUUGGAUUAAAAAAGAAGUGGAUAUGGUCCUUCGAUAGAAUGUGAAGUGUUUUUUUAAAAAUCAGCCAAGAACUAUGCCUGUCUUUUUUUCACACCUGUGAUUCUUUCAGCAAGUUAGAAGGAUAGCAAGAGAAUGUGCAUCCUUCCCCAAACCCCGAAGACAGGCAGCUUUGGCUUAAAUAUGCUUAUUUAUUUUCAAAAUUAGAAAAUAAACACAUUAAUGUAAAUAUGUUGAGACAGACAAAGAAAUUUGUCUGCUACUUAAUAAACACGCGAUUUAUACUUUUUGUCUUCUAAUUAAUUGUCGACCCUGAAUAAGGUGGUACAACUAAGGCAUAUUAUGGAAAACUGGCAUUAUUGCUUAAUGUAACAUGAGGGAUUGGAAUUUCUUUAAAGUAAUUUUAAGAUAUGAUUAUUUAGCAGAAAUAUUCACUGGAGCAUUUUACUUUUAGAAAUUAUCGUCACACAAGGAAGCCUUUAUAGGACCGACUACCUAAUUGCAGUCAAAGAUCUCUUGAAUGAAU
rnacentral:lncRNA from 10 species